rnacentral:rRNA from 1 species
CCUACGGGAGGCAGCAGUCGAGAAUUAUUCACAAUGGGGGAAACCCUGGUGGUGCGACGCCGCGUGGGGGAAUGAAGGUCUUCGGAUUGUAAACCCCUGUCAUGUGGGAGCAGAUUAAAAAGAUAGUACCACAAGAGGAAGAGACGGCUAACUCUGUGCCAGCAGCCGCGGUAAUACAGAGGUCUCAAGCGUUGUUCGGAAUCACUGGGCGUAAAGCGUGCGUAGGCUGUUUCGUAAGUCGUGUGUGAAAGGCGCGGGCUCAACCCGCGGACGGCACAUGAUACUGCGAGACUAGAGUAAUGGAGGGGGAACCGGAAUUCUCGGUGUAGCAGUGAAAUGCGUAGAUAUCGAGAGGAACACUCGUGGCGAAGGCGGGUUCCUGGACAUUAACUGACGCUGAGGCACGAAGGCCAGGGGAGCGAAAGGGAUUAGAUACCCGAGUAGUC